ACACGACUCUCGGCAACGGAUAUCUCGGCUCUCGCAUCGAUGAAGAACGUAGCGAAAUGCGAUACCUGGUGUGAAUUGCAGAAUCCCGCGAACCAUCGAGUCUUUGAACGCAAGUUGCGCCCGAAGGCCUUGGGCCGAGGGCACGCCUGCCUGGGCGUCACGC
rnacentral:rRNA from 1 species